rnacentral:rRNA from 1 species
UACGUAGGGGGCAAGCGUUGUCCGGAUUUAUUGGGCGUAAAAGAGCGUGUAGGCGGCCUGACAGGUCUGCUGUGAAAAACUCGAGGCUCAACCUCGAGAUGUCGGCGGAAACCGUCUGGCUAGAGUCCGGAAGAGGAGAGUGGAAUUCCUGGUGUAGCGGUGAAAAUGCGCAGAUAUCAGGAAAGAACACCUAUGGCGAAGGCAGCUCUCUGGGGACGGUACUGACGCUGAGACGCGAAAAGCUGGGGGAGCAAAACAGG